rnacentral:rRNA from 1 species
UGCAAGUCGAGCGGUAACACAGAGGAGCUUGCUCCUUGGGUGACGAGCGGCGGACGGGUGAGUAAAGUCUGGGGAUCUGCCUGAUGGAGGGGGAUAACUACUGGAAACGGUAGCUAAUACCGCAUGACGUCUUCGGACCAAAGUGGGGGACCUUCGGGCCUCACGCCAUGAGAUGAACCCAGAUGGGAUUAGCUGGUAGGUGAGGUAACGGCUCACCUAGGCGACGAUCCCUAGCUGGUCUGAGAGGAUGACCAGCCACACUGGAACUGAGACACGGUCCAGACUCCUACGGGAGGCAGCAGUGGGGAAUAUUGCACAAUGGGGGAAACCCUGAUGCAGCCAUGCCGCGUGUGUGAAGAAGGCCUUCGGGUUGUAAAGCACUUUCAGCGGGGAGGAAGGCAAUAAACUUAAUAAGUUUGUUGAUUGACGUUACCCGCAGAAGAAGCACCGGCUAACUCCGUGCCAGCAGCCGCGGUAAUACGGAGGGUGCAAGCGUUAAUCGGAAUGACUGGGCGUAAAGCGCACGCAGGCGGUCUGUUAAGUUGGAUGUGAAAUCCCCGGGCUCAACCCGGGAACAGCAUUCAAAACUGACAGGCUAGAGUCUCGUAGAGGGGGGUAGAAUUCCAGGUGUAGCGGUGAAAUGCGUAGAGAUCUGGAGGAAUACCGGUGGCGAAGGCGGCCCCCUGGACGAAGACUGACGCUCAGGUGCGAAAGCGUGGGGAGCAAACAGGAUUAGAUACCCUGGUAGUCCACGCCGUAAACGAUGUCGACUUGGAGGCUGUGGUCUUGAACCGUGGCUUCCGGAGCUAACGCGUUAAGUCGACCGCCUGGGGAGUACGGCCGCAAGGUUAAAACUCAAAUGAAUUGACGGGGGCCCGCACAAGCGGUGGAGCAUGUGGUUUAAUUCGAUGCAACGCGAAGAACCUUACCUACUCUUGACAUCCAGAGAAGACUGUAGAGAUACGGUUGUGCCUUCGGGAGCUCUGAGACAGGUGCUGCAUGGCUGUCGUCAGCUCGUGUUGUGAAAUGUUGGGUUAAGUCCCGCAACGAGCGCAACCCUUAUCCUUUGUUGCCAGCGAUACGGUCGGGAACUCAAAGGAGACUGCCGGUGAUAAACCGGAGGAAGGUGGGGAUGACGUCAAGUCAUCAUGGCCCUUACGAGUAGGGCUACACACGUGCUACAAUGGCGCAUACAAAGAGAAGCGAGCCUGCGAGGGUGAGCGGACCUCAUAAAGUGCGUCGUAGUCCGGAUUGGAGUCUGCAACUCGACUCCAUGAAGUCGGAAUCGCUAGUAAUCGUAGAUCAGAAUGCUACGGUGAAUACGUUCCCGGGCCUUGUACACACCGCCCGUCACACCAUGGGAGUGGGUUGCAAAAGAAGUAGGUAGCUUAAC